UUGCAUAUGGAGAUAUCUGUUUCUCAUUCCUGCAGGAACAGGAAUACAUCCAUAGAAUGCUACAUUAAGAAAGGAGUUCUCAGGACUACCAACCUUACAGUAGUGGUUGAGUAGCAGUAUAUUUCUCCUACAUAA